GUGGGGAAUAUUGGACAAUGGGGGGAACCCUGAUCCAGCCAUGCCGCGUGUGUGAAGAAGGCCUUUUGGUUGUAAAGCACUUUAAGCGAGGAGGAGGCUACCGAGACUAAUACUCUUGGAUAGUGGACGUUACUCGCAGAAUAAGCACCGGCUAACUCUGUGCCAGCAGCCGCGGUAAUACAGAGGGUGCGAGCGUUAAUCGGAUUUACUGGGCGUAAAGCGUGCGUAGGCGGCUUUUUAAGUCGGAUGUGAAAUCCCCGAGCUUAACUUGGGAAUUGCAUUCGAUACUGGGAAGCUAGAGUAUGGGAGAGGAUGGUAGAAUUCCAGGUGUAGCGGUGAAAUGCGUAGAGAUCUGGAGGAAUACCGAUGGCGAAGGCAGCCAUCUGGCCUAAUACUGACGCUGAGGUACGAAAGCAUGGGGAGCAAACAGGAUUAGAUACCCGGGUAGUCC
rnacentral:rRNA from 1 species